UACCAGCUCUUCGAGUGGUGUGGAUGUUUAUUGGGCCUAAAGCAUCCGUAGCUGGCUGGGCAAGUCCCCUGUUAAAUCCACCGAUUCAAUCGUUGGAGUGCGGGGGGAUACUGCUCGGCUAGGGGACGGGAGAGGCAGACGGUAUUUUCGGGGUAGGGGUGAAAUCCUAUAAUCCCGGGAAGACCACCAGUGGCGAAGGCUGUCUGCUAGAACGUGCCCGACGGUGAGGGAUGAAAGCUGGGGGAGCGAACCGGAUUAGAUACCCGGGUAGUCCCAGCUGUAAACGAUGCAGGCUAGGUGUUUGGACGGCCACGUGCCGUUCUAGUGCCGCAGGGAAGCCGUUAAGCCUGCCGCCUGGGGAGUACGGCCGCAAGGCUGAAACUUAAAGGAAUUGGCGGGGAGCACCACAAGGGGUGAAGCUUGCGGUUU
rnacentral:rRNA from 1 species